UCCUUCUUUCCAAAAGCAUCCUGCUAAAAUCAUGGGCGCAGAGCUUUGUGGCUCAGCGUCUCGUGUUAAUGCUAGCAGUGGUAUUUUAAAGAAGGGAGAGAAAAAGCACAGUGUCGGAUAUGAGGUGGGGAGGGACCUCUUUCUUAAUGUCCUAUGUCCUCGUCCUCAAGAUCCUGUGCCACAAAA